rnacentral:lncRNA from 1 species
GUGAGAGCGCGAACAGGAGGGAGAAACAAGCGGCAGGCGAGCGCGCUCUUCUGAGCUGAAACCGCCCCUAUCCCGAGCUCAGCCCCGCCGUCCACGACCCGACCCCGGCGGCUCCCCNCCUCUCAAGAUUUCUCAGGUGGACCUUGGGAAAUAGUUCUUGAUAGUUGUGGACCAUUCUCAUUUGACCUAAGGGAAUGCACAGAAGGAGUACCUAUAAAUGGUUGCUCAGGUUAUGGUGGAAGACCU